GUUAACUAUUUUAAUAUCAGGUUAAUAAGGGAAUAGGGAUAUAUCGGGAAACCAUAUGGUAUUGUUUAAAUGAAGAUGCAGAUGUUCAAUAACAUAUAAAUAUAUUUUCAACAGGAGCCAAAGACUGCAAUAGAGAAGGCUAUACUGAAUCUUGUGGGAAUUCUGUCAACUUCCCAGUCUGAUAUUAGGAGUGGAACUGCAACCACAUCUGUUACAGCGACAGUGCCUCAGCAAACCCCAAGAGUGAGCACCCAAAUAGAAAUGCAAAGGUCAUUUCCAGCAAUGUUUCAAAGAAGGCAAUCCAAAGGAAAGAGGCCUUUCCCAGCUCCUAGUAAUGUCAUACAUGCAGUUCGCAACAUUCAGUUGCAAUUCUGUCUUUUGCCUGAUUCCACGACAAAAACCCCAAAGAAUGAAAUACGGCUUCUUCAAGCUGGACUUGGAAGGCGAACUCUCAGCAUAGCUGACAAUGCUGAUCAUGAAGAAAUUACUGUAGCUCUGCAUGAAGAG